GGAGGAAGACGCAGUGAACUGAAACAUCUAAGUAGCUGCAGGAAGAGAAAGCAAAAGCGAUUGCCUUAGUAGCGGCGAGCGAAACGGCAGGAGGGCAAACCGAAGAGGUUACUCUUCGGGGUUGUAGGACUGCAAUGUGGACUCAAAGAUUAUAGAAGAAUGAUUUGGGAAGAUCAGCCAAAGAGAGUAAUAGCCUCGUAUUUAAAAUAGUCUUUGUACUUAGCAGUAUCCUGAGUACGGCGGGAAACGUGAAAUCCCGUCGGAAUCUGGGGGGACCAUCUCCCAACCCUAAAAACUCCCUAGUGACCGAUAGUGAACCAGUACCGUGAGGGAAAGGUGAAAAGCACCCCGGGAGGGGAGUGAAAUAGAACCUGAAACCGUGUGCCUACAACAAGUUCGAGCCCGUUAAUGGGUGAGAGCGUGCCUUUUGUAGAAUGAACCGGCGAGUUACGUUAUGAUGCGAGGUUAAGUUGAAGAGACGGAGCCGUAGGGAAACCGAGUCUGAAUAGGGCGCCUUAGUAUCAUGACGUAGACCCGAAACCAUGUGACCUACCCAUGAGCAGGUUGAAGGUGCGGUAAGACGCACUGGAGGACCGAACCAGGGCACGUUGAAAAGGUGCUUGGAUGACUUGUGGGUAGCGGAGAAAUUCCAAACGAACUUGGAGAUAGCUGGUUCUCUCCGAAAUAGCUUUAGGGCUAGCGUCGACAUUAGAGAUUCUUGGAGGUAGAGCACUGUUUGGGUGAGGGGUCCAUCCCGGAUUACCAAUCUCAGAUAAACUCCGAAUGCCAAUGAAUUAUGGUCGGCAGUCAGACUGCGAGUGCUAAGAUCCGUAGUCGAAAGGGAAACAGCCCAGACCACCAGCUAAGGUCCCAAAAUAAUUGUUAAGUGGAAAAGGAUGUGGGGUUGCACAGACAACUAGGAUGUUAGCUUAGAAGCAGCUAUUCAUUCAAAGAGUGCGUAAUAGCUCACUAGUCGAGUGACCCUGCGCCGAAAAUGUACCGGGGCUAAAACAAUUUACCGAAGCUGUGGAUACCUUUAUAGGUAUGGUAGGAGAGCGUUCUAUGUGUGAUGAAGGUAUACCGUGAGGCGCGCUGGAACGCAUAGAAGUGAGAAUGCCGGUAUGAGUAGCGAAAGACAGGUGAGAAUCCUGUCCACCGUAAGACUAAGGUUUCCAGGGGAAGGCUCGUCCGCCCUGGGUUAGUCGGGACCUAAGGAGAGACCAAAAGGUGUAUCCGAUGGACAACAGGUUGAUAUUCCUGUACUAGAGUAUGUAGUGAUGGAGGGACGCAGUAGGCUAACUAAAGCAGACGAUUGGAAGAGUCUGUCUAAGCAGUGAGGUGUGAAUUGAGUCAAAUGCUUAAUUCUAUAACAUUGAGCUGUGAUGGGGAGCGAAGUUUAGUAGCGAAGUUAGUGACGUCACACUGCCAAGAAAAGCUUCUAGCGUUUAAACAUACUCUACCCGUACCGCAAACCGACACAGGUAGUCGAGGCGAGUAGCCUCAGGUGAGCGAGAGAACUCUCGUUAAGGAACUCGGCAAAAUGACCCCGUAACUUCGGGAGAAGGGGUGCUGACUUUAAGUCAGCCGCAGUGAAUAGGCCCAAGCAACUGUUUAUCAAAAACACAGCUCUCUGCUAAAUCGUAAGAUGAUGUAUAGGGGGUGACGCCUGCCCGGUGCUGGAAGGUUAAGAGGAGUGCUUAGGGUAAGCGAAGGUAUGAAUUGAAGCCCCAGUAAACGGCGGCCGUAACUAUAACGGUCCUAAGGUAGCGAAAUUCCUUGUCGGGUAAGUUCCGACCCGCACGAAAGGCGUAAUGAUUUGGGCACUGUCUCAACGAGAGACUCGGUGAAAUUUUAGUACCUGUGAAGAUGCAGGUUACCCGCGACAGGACGGAAAGACCCCAUGGAGCUUUACUGCAGUUUGAUAUUGAGUGUCUGUACCACAUGUACAGGAUAGGUAGGAGUCUAAGAGAUCGGGACGCCAGUUUCGAAGGAGACGCUGUUGGGAUACUACCCUUGUGUUAUGGCCACUCUAACCCAGAUAGGUGAUCCCUAUCGGAGACAGUGUCUGACGGGCAGUUUGACUGGGGCGGUCGCCUCCUAAAAGGGAACGGAGGCGCCCAAAGGUUCCCUCAGAAUGGUUGGAAAUCAUUCGCAGAGUGUAAAGGUAUAAGGGAGCUUGACUGCGAGAGCUACAACUCGAGCAGGGACGAAAGUCGGGCUUAGUGAUCCGGUGGUUCCGUAUGGAAGGGCCAUCGCUCAACGGAUAAAAGCUACCCUGGGGAUAACAGGCUUAUCUCCCCCAAGAGUUCACAUCGACGGGGAGGUUUGGCACCUCGAUGUCGGCUCGUCGCAUCCUGGGGCUGUAGUCGGUCCCAAGGGUUGGGCUGGUCGCCCCUUAAAGCGGCACGCGAGCUGGGUUCAGAACGUCGUGAGACAGUUCGGUCCCUAUCCGUCGCGGGCGUAGGAAAUUUGAGAGGAUCUGCUCCUAGUACGAGAGGACCAGAGUGGACUUACCGCUGGUGUACCAGUUGUCUUGCCAAAGGCAUCGCUGGGUAGCUAUGUAGGGAAGGGAUAAACGCUGAAAGCAUCUAAGUGUGAAACCCACCUCAAGAUGAGAUUUCCCAUGAUUAUAUAUCAGUAAGAGCCCUGAGAGAUGAUCAGGUAGAUAGGUUAGAAGUGGAAGUGUGGCGACACAUGUAGCGGACUAAUACUAAUAGCUCGAGGACUUAUCCAA
rnacentral:rRNA from 1 species